GAUGAAGAACGCAGCGAAGUGCGAUAAGUAAUGUGAAUUGCAGAAUUCAGUGAAUCAUCGAAUCUUUGAACGCACAUUGCGCCCAUUAGUAUUCUAGUGGGCAUGCCUGUUCGAGCGUCAUUAAUUCCACUUAAGCCCUGCUUAGUGUUGGGAAUCUACUCUAGUGGUGCUACCCUGGAGCUACCCCUGAAAGGGGGCUGGCCCGGUAGCUACCCUGUAGUUCCUCAAAGAUAGUGCGCGGAGUUGCGUGGUCCUCUGAGCUUAGUAACUAUACACCUAGCUUUUGAGUGUCCCGCGGCGCCUGCCGUUUAAACCCCAUCUUUUAAUGGUUGACCUCGGAUCAGGUAGGAAUACCCGCUGAACUUAAGCAUAUCAAUAAGCGGAGGA
rnacentral:misc_RNA from 1 species